rnacentral:rRNA from 1 species
UUGAGCGCUGGCGGCAGGCCUAACACAUGCAAGUCGAGCGGUAGCACAGAGAGCUUGCUCUCGGGUGACGAGCGGCGGACGGGUGAGUAAUGUCUGGGAAACUGCCUGAUGGAGGGGGAUAACUACUGGAAACGGUAGCUAAUACCGCAUAACGUCGCAAGACCAAAGUGGGGGACCUUCGGGCCUCAUGCCAUCAGAUGUGCCCAGAUGGGAUUAGCUAGUAGGUGGGGUAACGGCUCACCUAGGCGACGAUCCCUAGCUGGUCUGAGAGGAUGACCAGCCACACUGGAACUGAGACACGGUCCAGACUCCUACGGGAGGCAGCAGUGGGGAAUAUUGCACAAUGGGCGCAAGCCUGAUGCAGCCAUGCCGCGUGUGUGAAGAAGGCCUUCGGGUUGUAAAGCACUUUCAGCGGGGAGGAAGGCGGUGAGGUUAAUAACCUCAUCGAUUGACGUUACCCGCAGAAGAAGCACCGGCUAACUCCGUGCCAGCAGCCGCGGUAAUACGGAGGGUGCAAGCGUUAAUCGGAAUUACUGGGCGUAAAGCGCACGCAGGCGGUCUGUCAAGUCGGAUGUGAAAUCCCCGGGCUUAACCUGGGAACUGCAUUCGAAACUGGCAGGCUAGAGUCUUGUAGAGGGGGGUAGAAUUCCAGGUGUAGCGGUGAAAUGCGUAGAGAUCUGGAGGAAUACCGGUGGCGAAGGCGGCCCCCUGGACAAAGACUGACGCUCAGGUGCGAAAGCGUGGGGAGCAAACAGGAUUAGAUACCCUGGUAGUCCACGCCGUAAACGAUGUCGAUUUGGAGGUUGUGCCCUUGAGGCGUGGCUUCCGGAGCUAACGCGUUAAAUCGACCGCCUGGGGAGUACGGCCGCAAGGUUAAAACUCAAAUGAAUUGACGGGGGCCCGCACAAGCGGUGGAGCAUGUGGUUUAAUUCGAUGCAACGCGAAGAACCUUACCUGGUCUUGACAUCCACAGAACUUAGCAGAGAUGCUUUGGUGCCUUCGGGAACUGUGAGACAGGUGCUGCAUGGCUGUCGUCAGCUCGUGUUGUGAAAUGUUGGGUUAAGUCCCGCAACGAGCGCAACCCUUAUCCUUUGUUGCCAGCGGUCCGGCCGGGAACUCAAAGGAGACUGCCAGUGAUAAACUGGAGGAAGGUGGGGAUGACGUCAAGUCAUCAUGGCCCUUACGACCAGGGCUACACACGUGCUACAAUGGCAUAUACAAAGAGAAGCGACCUCGCGAGAGCAAGCGGACCUCAUAAAGUAUGUCGUAGUCCGGAUUGGAGUCUGCAACUCGACUCCAUGAAGUCGGAAUCGCUAGUAAUCGUAGAUCAGAAUGCUACGGUGAAUACGUUCCCGGGCCUUGUACACACCGCCCGUCACACCAUGGGAGUGGGUUGCAAAAGAAGUAGGUAGCUUAACCUUCGGGAGGGCGCUUACCACUUUGUGAUUCAUGACUGGGGUG